GCCGGGCACGGUGGCGGGCGCCUGUAAUCCCAGCUACUUGGGAGGCUGAGGCAGGAGAAUCGCUUGAACCCGGGAGGCGGAGGUUGCAGUGAGCUGAGAUCGUACCACUGCACUCAAGCAUGGGCGACAAGAGCGAAACUCCGUCAAAAAAAAAAAAAAAAAAAACCUGUGAAAAUAGAUACGAUCUCGGCUCACUGCAACCUCCGCCUCCAGGGUUAAAGCGAUUCUCCUGCCU
rnacentral:SRP_RNA from 1 species